AUUUUGCCUUAAAAGAGAUAGUUGAUCGAACUAGAACAAUACAUAGAAGCAAGGCCCUUGCACACGGACAACACGCAGAUUUAUGAAGCGUCCCAUAUGUGU
ensembl:snRNA U6 U6 spliceosomal RNA